ensembl:lncRNA
CUGAGGGGUGACCAGUCCUCUACUGGCUGUAGUGGGUAGACCAGAGGAACCAGGCUCUGAGGGGUGACCAGUCCUCUACUGGCUGUACUGGGUAGAGAGGAACCAGGCUCUGAGGGGUGACUAGUCCUCUACUGGCUGUAGUGGGUAGACCAGAGGAACCAGGCUCUGAGGGGUGACCAGUCAUCUAAUGGGUGUACUGGGUAGACCAGAGGAACCAGGCUCUGAGGGGUGACCAGUCCUCUACUGGCUGUACUGGGUAGAGAGGAACCAGGCUCUGAGGGGUGACCAGUCCUCCACUGGCUGUACUGGGUAGACCAGAGGAACCAGGCUCUGAGGGGUAUCUGCUGUGUACUAUCAUCUGUGUGUGUGUGU